GAACGAAAUAAUAACGAGUGGCUGAGAGACAGCCGGACAGACGGACAGGUGUAACUAAUUGUCCUCGACGUGUGUAUACAAGGUGCAGAGCAGCGCACACUUACAAGAUGUCCCCAAAUUAAUUACGAUGCGGAAAGAUGUCGGCACGGUGGCGAUCGCCGCUGUCGAUCGGAAUAUCUUAUGGUUGAAUA